UACGUAGGGGGCAAGCGUUGUCCGGAUUUACUGGGCGUAAAGAGCGCGCAGGUGGCCGCGCGCAGUCCGUCGUUAAAGCCCGGGGCUCAACUCCGGGUGGUCGACGGAAACGGUGCGGCUGAUGAGGGCGGUAGAGGAGCACGGAAUUCCCGGUGUAGUGGUGAAAUGCGUAGAUAUCGGGAGGAACACCCGUGGCGAAGGCGGUGCUCUGGGCCGACCCUGACGCUGAGGCGCGAAAGCGUGGGGAGCGAACCGG
rnacentral:misc_RNA from 1 species